rnacentral:rRNA from 1 species
GUAGGGUGCGAGCGUUAAUCGGAAUUACUGGGCGUAAAGUGUGCGCAGGCGGCCGAGCAAGUCGAGUGUGAAAGCCCCGGGCUUAACUUGGGAAUUGCGCUCGAAACUACUUGGCUGGAGUGUGGCAGAGGAAGGUGGAAUUCCACGUGUAGCGGUGAAAUGCGUAGAGAUGUGGAGGAACACCAAUGGCGAAGGCAGCCUUCUGGGCCAACACUGACGCUCAUGCGCGAAAGCGUGGGGAGCAAACAGGAUUAGAUACCCUGGUAGUCCACGCCCUAAACGAUGACGACUAGUUGUUGGAGGAGUUAAAUCCUUUAGUAACGCAGCUAACGCGCGAAGUCGUCCGCCUGGGGAGUACGGUCGCAAGAUUA